AGGACGUUACUAACGACGAUAUGCUUUGGGGAGCUGUAAGUAAGCUUUGAUCCAGAGAUUUCCGAAUGGGGAAACCCAGCAUGAGUUAUGUCAUGUUAUCGAUAUGUGAAUACAUAGCAUAUCAGAAGGCACACCCGGAGAACUGAAACAUCUUAGUACCCGGAGGAAGAGAAAGAAAAUUCGAUUCCCUUAGUAGCGGCGAGCGAAACGGGAAGAGCCCAAACCAACAAGCUUGCUUGUUGGGGUUGUAGGACACUCUAUACGGAGUUACAAAGGACGACAUUAGACGAAUCAUCUGGAAAGAUGAAUCAAAGAAGGUAAUAAUCCUGUAGUCGAAAAUGUUGUCUCUCUUGAGUGGAUCCUGAGUACGACGGAGCACGUGAAAUUCCGUCGGAAUCUGGGAGGACCAUCUCCUAAGGCUAAAUACUCUCUAGUGACCGAUAGUGAACCAGUACCGUGAGGGAAAGGUGAAAAGCACCCCGGAAGGGGAGUGAAAUAGAACCUGAAACCGUGUGCUUACAAGUAGUCAGAGCCCGUUAAUGGGUGAUGGCGUGCCUUUUGUAGAAUGAACCGGCGAGUUACGAUUUGAUGCAAGGUUAAGCAGUAAAUGUGGAGCCGUAGCGAAAGCGAGUCUGAAUAGGGCGUUUAGUAUUUGGUCGUAGACCCGAAACCAGGUGAUCUACCCUUGGUCAGGUUGAAGUUCAGGUAACACUGAAUGGAGGACCGAACCGACUUACGUUGAAAAGUGAGCGGAUGAACUGAGGGUAGCGGAGAAAUUCCAAUCGAACCUGGAGAUAGCUGGUUCUCUCCGAAAUAGCUUUAGGGCUAGCCUCAAGUGAUGAUUAUUGGAGGUAGAGCACUGUUUGGACGAGGGGCCCCUCUCGGGUUACCGAAUUCAGACAAACUCCGAAUGCCAAUUAAUUUAACUUGGGAGUC
rnacentral:rRNA from 1 species